GAUGAACGCUGGCGGCGUGCCUAAUACAUGCAAGUCGAGCGAAUGGAUUAAGAGCUUGCUCUUAUGAAGUUAGCGGCGGACGGGUGAGUAACACGUGGGUAACCUGCCCAUAAGACUGGGAUAACUCCGGGAAACCGGGGCUAAUACCGGAUAACAUUUUGAACCGCAUGGUUCGAAAUUGAAAGGCGGCUUCGGCUGUCACUUAUGGAUGGACCCGCGUCGCAUUAGCUAGUUGGUGAGGUAACGGCUCACCAAGGCAACGAUGCGUAGCCGACCUGAGAGGGUGAUCGGCCACACUGGGACUGGGACACGGCCCAGACUCCUACGGGAGGCAGCAGUAGGGAAUCGUCCGCAAUGGACGAAAGUCUGACGGAGCAACGCCGCGUGAGUGAUGAAGGCUUUCGGGUCGUAAAACUCUGUUGUUAGGGAAGGACAAGUGCUAGUUGAAUAAGCUGGCACCUUGACGGUACCUAACCAGAAAGCCACGGCUAACUACGUGCCAGCCGCCGCGGUAA
rnacentral:rRNA from 1 species